CAGAUAUCGAUGAAUGCUUGUCUGAGCCCUGCCUCCACAACGGCGUCUGUAUCGAUGGCAUCAACUCGUUCAACUGUUCCUGUGGGGAAGGAUAUUUUGGAAUACUUUGCAACGAAGAAUAUACGACAACAACACCGGGUCCAACAUCAACAUCCCCGUCUCCAACUUCAACAAGCGUCAUCCCAACAACCACUGCCACUCCAGCAUCGUCCACCUGUACAUUAUCUUCGACUACUUUAGUUAUCAAUCAACAACUGUCUUCAAGAAGGAAUGUUUCCAGCUAUUUGUUGCUCAGCUACAAAAAUUUAAGUUCAUAUUUCCGGAAGCGUUCCACUGCACAUGACAGUAGAAUAUCGUCGAUUCUGAUUGGUUGCGGAGCCCUUCUAGUCACAUUGUGUGCAAUGGCUGCCGUGUGUGUACAUGACUGCAUGGUGUUUUUCUGGACUCCGAGGAGAAAGGUGGAGGCAUUCGAUAUGUUGCGUCGUCAUGGACUCACGGAUCCGUCAACGAGGUAUGCUGUUACCACUACGUCGGCGAGGUAUACCGUUACCACUACGUCGGUUGUGCAUGUGAGGGAGAAGUCCCAUGGUGCCAUAGCCGCAGUUGAAGAAACAGUAACAUAAGAAACAUACCUUGCUUUGUCCCUUGCUUGUGUACAUGGUGCUACACAUACAAACAGUGAACGAUCAAUCCAAAUGUUACAACAUACUAGUAAGUGUGAAAAGGGGACUCAAAUGUACAAUAACAGACUAAACGACCGAAGUGUACCAGUUGCGUUGAUAGCAAAUGCCGAAUUAGAUCCAUCUGUAGAUAAUAGGACGAAGAGGUAAAUCUAACUUUAGAUCCAUAUAACCCAUAACAUGAUGAAAGAAAGAAAUCGAACUUUUGAUUCACGGGAAAUACAUCGUGAGAUUCAUGUGUUCACAAUGUCACUGACAAGUAAAUGUAACGUGAGAUCUGUCAUGUAAGUUAACUUGAGAUCUCACAAGUAAGUUAACGUGAGAUCUAUGUGUGCAAAACUGACUGAUAAGUAAGUUAACGUGAGAUCUAUGUGUGCAAGAACUGACUGACAAGUACGUAAACGUGAGAUCUGACAAAUAAGUUAGCGUGCGAUCUAUGUGUGCAAGAACUGACUGACAAGUACGUUAACGUGAGAUCUGACAAAUAAGUUAGCGUGCGAUCUAUGUGUGCAAGAACUGACUGACAAGUAAAUGUAAGGUUAGAUGAAAAGAAUGGAUGGAAGGAAAUAAUCAAGCGACUCAUGCCCUGUUUGUUGCAGACAUCACGAUCUAGUAAUUGUGUGGUGAAGUAUGACCUUACGGCAAAUUACGAAUUAUAUCUUGCAAAUUCGAUUGUGUUACUUUACACGAGGUCUUCGGUUGCCGCAUUGUAUUUGUUUACACAGUAACUCUGACUGCCUCAAAUACAUUGUAGUACUUAGCUAUGCAUCGUGUACAUUGCACUUCUUUACUCGAUGUUUUGUUCACAGUGAUGUCCCUUGUACCGCAAACAUAACAUCGGGGGCGCCAUCUUAAUACUAAAGAAAUCACAUUCAGUGUGAAAAUUUCAAGGUUUUCUCAGUUGUACGAACAUCACAGAAUAAUGAAUACGAUGAAUAGAGAGCACGUUAAGAUGUUACCGGCUGUGUAUUCCUUUCUUAGAAUUUAACCAACUGUCUUUGUGUUAAGCAUUCUCUGGAGGACAUACCUGGCCUUGACUGUGGUUUACGUAAACUGCUGCGCUAUGGCAUUGUAGAGAAUGUACUUGACACCGGUAGUGGGCCAUGUAUGUAUGACUGUAGGCAUGUGCACUCGCCACGUGAUAACGAUAAUAAAUCAAUGUACGAUAUGUAUGUACAGUAAAUGUGGAGCAACUCCGAGCUAUCAAGUAGUUCAUGCUGCAGUGAAAGUGUCAUAACUGUAUCAUCAAGUUAUCUUUACACUCAGAAAAACCAUGUCAACCUGUUCUUGGAAAUAGAUUUGAUCCUGUUAGAAAAAUUAGCCUCUAUUUAGGACGUCCUGACUCUCCCACUUACAUAUGUUUUAUUGCGUAACAGGGCUGUAUGUAAGGGACAAUGUAUAUUAAACUCUGCUGAUAACA